rnacentral:lncRNA from 10 species
CUGGAAUGGUGAGGGAAAGAGCAAAUACAGAAACUGCCUAGGGGGUGAUUCAGGAACACAGAAAAAAACGAUCGGAGUCUAAGGUGGUGGCAAUGAAGAUGAAACUUAAAAAGCGGGCAGACCCCAGAGCUGUGCCGAACUGGAGAGACCCUCGAUGAGAGAAUCGAGUCUUCCUUAUCUGUGUAGAUGCUUCCAUUUUAGGCCCAAUGACUCCAUAAAGCACUUGCUAUUUACAUGUCUUUCUCUCACUCUUGGACUACAGCUACUGGAGGGCAAGAGUCCUGUCCUUGAAGUCUGUAUCCUCCGUCGUUAGCACAGCGUGUGGAACGAAGGGAGACUGGUGAAUCCAGGUGAAUACAAAUGAAGGAAGACCUGCUUCACCGGAAGAGCAACACGCAAAGCAUCGACACAUCGGCGACAGUUGGGCAAAGAUUUUACAGGAAGCGUGACAUUGGCAUCUGCCUGGUUUCUAGGGAGGCCUCAGGAAGCUUGCAAUCAUGGCGGAAGAUGAAGCGGGAGCAGGCGUGUUACAUGAUGAAAGCAGAAGCAAGUGAGGUGCUGGGGAUACUAAAAUGAACAGGCAAAAUCCUUUCCCUUCCUCGAGGAACCAACAGUGCAACUGAGGAGAGCUAAGUAAACAGUUCUGAUGGAGGGAGACACAUGCUCUGAUAGAGGUGGUCAGAGGGUGUUGGGGGACCCAAGGGGAGAAGCCAGACUCAGCUUUGGAGACUCGGGGAAGAAUUUCCAAAGCUGCUGGUUUUCUGGACAAGGUCCCAUUAACUCCCAUCCCAAAGGUGGGAUCUUUCUUCUAGUACCUCUCAGCGCCCUGCUUCAUCUCUUAAGCAUCCAAUUCUGACAUGAAAUAGAACAUUGCUGCUAUUGGCUGAAUGUUCGUGACUGCAACAUCUAUACAUUGAAACCCUACACCUUCUGGAGGUGAGGUCUUUGGAAGGUGAUUAGGAUUAGCUGAGGUCAUGUGAGCUGAGCCCCCAUGAAUGGGAUCAGUGCCCUUAUAAGCAUCCUGAGAGAGCUUGCUUCACUCCGCUCUCCACCAUGUGAGGACACUGGGACAGGGCAGCCACCUGCAACUCGGAAAAGGGCCACACAGAACCCACCAUGCAGGUACUCUGGUCUCAGACUUCCAGCCUCCAGAACUGUCAGAAAUGAAUUUGUGCUAUUUAUAAGCCACCCAGGCAAUGGUAAUUUACUAUAGUGCCCAAACUGACUGGGACACUGGCCAUAGAAAACGAUGCUUGCUGUGGUCAGAUCACGGUCCAUGGUCAUCUUAUUGUUAGACGAGGGUUCUCCAACAGGUGCACGUGUUUCCCCAGGGUGUGCAACCUGGAGAGCUGAAUGAAAGUAUUCGAAUUUCCCUGACUGUUCAUGUCUAUCUUUACCUAAGAAUAGAAGUUGGUUAAGCUCUCCUCACACUGGGUGUGCGCCAUUCACUUCCACACUACUGAAAGGUGGCAGGGCGCAUCCCUCCUAACUGGGUGCACCACACAUAAUGCACUGCAGGCUGCAUACGUGUGACCACAGCUUACUGAUUAUCUUAUCCACAUUUAACCUAUCCAAAAUCCAAAAUAAACCAUAGAUCCAAGAAAAUUCUCAUCAUACGAGCUCAAGAGAACAAGAAAGUGAAGGUGCUAACACGUCUAACAGCAGCCACAUUUGCAGGAGAAAAUAAUUAUUUCAUUUUGCUGUUACCCUCUAUACAUUUCUUUUUUUAUUUGUAUAUUUUUGUGUUUUUUGAGAUGGAGCUUCACUCUUGUCACCCAGGCUGGAGCGCAAUGGUGUGAUCACGGCUCACUGCAACUUCUGCCUCCUGAGUUCAAGCGAUUCUCCUGUCUCAGCCUCCCUAGUAGCUGGGAUUACAGGCAUGCACCACCACACCUGGCUAAUUUUGUAUUUUUAGUAGAGAUGGGGCUUCACCAUGUUGGCCAGGCUGGUCUCAAACUCCUGACUUCAGGUGAUCCACCUGCCUCGCCCUCCCGAAGUGCUGGAAGCACAGGCAUGAGCCACCGUGCCAGGCCUAUUUGUAUAAAUUUAUGGGGUACAAGUGUAAUUUCGUUACAUGCAUAGAUAGCAUAGUCUUGAAGUCAGGGCUUUUAGCGUAUUCAUCAGCCAAGUAAUGUACAUUGUACCCAGAAAGUAAUUUCUCAUCAUCCAUUUCCCUCCACCCCUCACCCUUCUGAGUCUCCAAAGCCUAUCAUUCCACACUCUAUAUCCAGGUGCACUCAUUAUUUAGCUCCCACUUGUAAGAGACAUGUGGUGUUUGACUUUCUGUUUCUGAGUUAUUUCACUUAUAUAAUGGCCUCCAGUUCCAACCCUGUGGCUGCAAAAGACACAACUUCAUUCUUUUUUAUAGCUGAAUAGUAUUCCAUGGUGUAUGUAUACCAUAUUUGCUUAUCUAGUCAUCCAUUGGUGAAUACUUUGAUUCCAUAUCUUUGCCAUUCUGAAUAGUGCUGCGAUAACGAUAAGCAUACAAGUUAUGGUAGCUUUCUGACAUACCGACUUCUUUUCCCUUGGGUAGUGCAUGCACCCACCACAGGGGGACCUUUGUACAAGAUUGCUCAGUCCAGCUCUGCCUAGGUUUGCCCCCCCACCUCCAAGACACAGCAUAGGAUCCGGGCUCCUGGGGGUCCCAUGUCCCACAACCUUUAUACAUUUCUAUUCUAUUUAAAAUGCAGAGUGUACAAAACAUGCCUGUACAAGAGAAUAUUCACAAAUGUAUAAAUAAAUACAUAAAUUCACAAAAUGCUUAGAAAUAUUUCAGUAGUGUUUUUUUUCAUUUAAAAAUGCAUCUAGAUCAUGGAUUUAGAUUGCAAGGCUCCACCUUAAGGGAGGCAGCUCGUCCAUGUCAGGCAGCUCCUCUCGUCCUGUCCAGCUGGCUUUUGCUCACUUCUCUUCGACACCAGACCUCUGGCAUGUCCAUAUUCUGACUGCAGCCACACUCGCAAUGGAACAAGGGGACAAAAACAAUGUUUACUUAAGUACAUUGUGAAAGUCCAGAGGAACGCUUCUGUUUUCUGGCUGAAAUCUCACACGGGAAUAAAAGCGACAGAAAACUCUACCCUUUCCUGCACGUGGCCAGCCCCUGUGGACCCUGGUGACAGGCACUCUGCUCACCUUCUGCCUGGAAGUUUUGCCAAGCCCAUGAUGGUUUUAUGAAAUCCUUUCUUUGAUUUGGCUCCUGGCAGUUUGCAGUUUGAAGUCGUACCUUGUCCUGGAUGGAAACCAUGUGAAACUAUCACAUUCUAUAUUGUUCCCAUUCUAGACUAUGAAUUCACUGGGCUUCAUCCAACCCAAACCUCAGCACUGAUUUCCUCAAUGUUUGGCCCACAUUUAUAAACCUCAAAGAACCUCCCAGCAAACCUGGCUUGAAUCUAAAGUCUCUUUACCCGCAUUUACACAGGCCUGCUUUCAAACCGGUAAGCCUGCAAUAGACUGCCCUAAAACUCCAUAGCUUCCUUCCAGCCAUGUUAUAUAUAACUUCAGUAUAAUUUGUUUAAAAAAAGCACAAGAAAGAUUAUUUGGAGAUUCAAAUUGAGUACACUUAAUAGAACUAUAAUGAUUCUGGCAAUCAUUUUCGAAGCUGCAAUAACUAAUCAUUGUAGAUCUAACUAUAUAUCCUGGCAGACACAUGGAGAAUAUUAGCAGAAAUCUUCCCACAAGGCUGCUUUUAGAGCUUAGCACUGCAAUUUGCUGAACAUUCUCCAUCAC